UUUAAUGAAGACUCUCAAAUUUGGACUUCUCAGUGGUGAUUGGUCUGUUCUUAAGUUGCACCCAAUAACAUUUGCAGGUCUGGAAACUCCUGAGGAGGGUAGAGACCACACCACUUCUUCUAGGGGAAGACCUCUGAGAGAUGUUCCUCAGUCCCAGGCUGCAAAGUCUAUGGAGCCCCGCCCAGGACUGAAAUAAAUUCUCCAAGAGUCGCCUGUUUCUAUGCCCCUGGGGACUGAGGUAUUACUUCAAGAACAAUCUGAAUUAAUUUGAGAUAAUAAUCCAUCACCUAUAGGACAGACUUUGUUAGGCCUUUUUAUGGAAACAAUGUCUCAGCUCUUCCACCUUCUGACAUUUAUCCCUGGAAAGACCCAACUUCUAAAGAGGGACAUCAAAUGGAUUGCCCCACCGCACUUCACCCCUUCUCCGAUGGAAGCAGCAAGAGCAGUCAUCGACCUUUUUCCUUAUAGCAGUAAGAAGUCCCUAAAAUUAGAGGGGCAGUAAAAAAAUUAAAAAGAAAGUCAAUGUAGAUAAGUAAUUGGGUUAAAUAAAAAAAUAAAGGCCAGUUUGGUUCCAGAAAGUUGUAGGCAAAUGACCUCUAAAAGAUUAAAGUGUGAAAGCUUCCCAGCCUGACCUCCACCCUUACCAAGAAUCUGCUCCUGUGACAACCUGUUGUUAAGUCUCCCCAAUAGGUUCAACUUACCACAGAACCAGUCCCAAGAGACCACUGAUUUCCAACACCAAUUCCAGCCAGGAGACUACAUCUACGUCAAACAGUUCCAGUAAAAAGGAUGAAUGCCCACCAGAAAUGUAGGGGACCUUACUCACAACAUGGAUUCAUCACAUCUCAGUCAAGACAACAGAAAAAUGGACAGUCCUCAGAGACCCCAACCACCCUCUAAAUAUGAGACUGAAAAGUGUUAAUCAUGCUUUUUCUCUUGCUUAUUCUUACAACUCUACUGUAGUACUUGGGACUUCCUCAGGCUCACAUGACAACCAUCUUGUGUCCCCUGAAGGAACAUGGUUUACUUGGAGUUCAGGGAAACUCCAUGCCUGGCCUUCAACUUUACAAGAUUAGCAAAUGGGAUGAAUUCUGUGUUCACGUCAUUUCCCAGGUGUACUAUUAUGAUGGGGAGGGUAGAAGGGAACAUCUGGGGCUAAUACAUUGAUCUAAAUGAGCUUCCCAUGUCUUCGUUCCCAUCCUAGUGGGAUUAGGUAUAGCUGGUUCCAUUGCUAUAGGGACCACUGCACUCAUUAUAAGAGAACAAAAUUUCAAAACCAUUAGUAGGCAAAUAGAUCUAAAUUUAAGUAAAUUAAAAAACUCUGUAAGUCACUUUAAAAAUUCCCUUGGUUCACUUGCUGAGGUAGUUUUAAUAAACAAAAGAGGGUUAAAUUUGCUGUUUUAAAAUAAGGAUUAUGUAUGGCUUUAGGGGAGUCCUGUUGUUCCUAUACUAAAAACACAGGUGUCAUUGAUGAUAGUUUAUCUUUGAUUAGAAAAAGGCUCAACAAAAGGGAGGAAGAGCUUAAAAUCUGAGGGUAUUUGGUACUAAAAUCUGUUCUCUUGGUCCCCCUGGUUAAUGACUCUAAUAACCACGAUGGCAGGACCUCUCAUCCUAUUUAUAUUGGGGCUUUUAAUUGGGCCAUGCAUGAUAAACUGUUUAACUAAAUAUGUUAGAGAUAGAAUCCAGUCAGCUAAGCUGUUUUACACAGCCACUACAAUCAGCUCUAUACUAAGUAAUAAAUCAAUGAUUUUAUUAUGUACAUAAAACUAGUGGGAAAUGUGACAGAUUGACAUAUUUGACUCCUUGGAAAUGUUACAGGCCAGGUUAUGUGAGCAAUGACCAAACAGACUCCAUUUUACCAUGAGAAUCCAUGUUAUGUAGGAAAUGCUUCUCUCAUGGGAACAUCCCACCUCU